UACAGAGGUCUCAAGCGUUGUUCGGAUUCAUUGGGCGUAAAGGGUGCGUAGGCGGCGCGGUAAGUCGGGUGUGAAAUCUUGGAGCUUAACUCCGAAACUGCAUUCGAUACUGCCGUGCUUGAGGACUGGAGAGGAGACUGGAAUUUACGGUGUAGCGGUGAAAUGCGUAGAUAUCGUAAGGAAGACCAGUGGCGGAAGGCGGGUCUCGUGGACAGUUCCUGACGCUGGAGGCACGAAGGCCAGGGGAGCAAACGGG
rnacentral:rRNA from 1 species